UGGGGAAUAUUGCACAAUGGGCGAAAGCCUGAUGCAGCAACGCCGCGUGAGGGAAGACGGUUUUCGGAUUGUAAACCUUUGUCCUCAGUGAAGAUAAUGACGGUAGCUGAGGAGGAAGCCACGGCUAACUACGUGCCAGCAGCCGCGGUAAUACGUAGGUGGCAAGCGUUGUCCGGAAUUACUGGGUGUAAAGGGAGCGCAGGCGGGAGAGCAAGUCAGUGGUGAAAUGCAUGGGCUUAACCCAUGAACUGCCAUUGAAACUGUUUUUCUUGAGUGGAUCAGAGGCAAGCGGAAUUCCGAGUGUAGCGGUGAAAUGCGUAGAUAUUCGGAGGAACACCAGUGGCGAAGGCGGCUUGCUGGGGUCUAACUGACGCUGAGGCUCGAAAGUGUGGGGAGCAAACAGGAUUAGAUACCCUGGUAGU
rnacentral:rRNA from 1 species